rnacentral:rRNA from 1 species
AUUGAACGCUGGCGGCAUGCCUUACACAUGCAAGUCGAACGGCAGCACGGGUUCUUGCUCCUGGUGGCGAGUGGCGUAGGGGUGAGUAAUACAUCGGGACAUGUCCUGUAGUGGGGGAUAGCCAGGCGAAAGCCGGAUUAAUACCGCAAACGAUCAACGUAUGACAGUGGGGGGCUUUGGGGCGUCGGGCUAUUGGGUCGGGGGAUGGCGGUUUCGCUGGUUGGUGGGGUAAAGGCCUGCCAAGGGGGCGCUCAGUCGCUGGCCGGUGAGGAGGACCGGCCGCACUGGGACGGAGGCACGGCCCAGACUCCUACGGGAGGCAGCAGUGGGGAAUUUUGGACAAUGGGCGGAAGCCUGAUCCAGCAGUGCCGCGGGUGUGGAGAAGGCCUUCGGGUUGUAGAGAACUUUUGUCCGGAAAGAAAUCCUUCGCUCUAAUACAGUCGGGGGAUGACGGUACCUGAAGAAUAAGCACCGGCUAACUACGUG